CCUAAACAUACUAGACAUUUAAAUACAUUUCAAAUGGUUUUAACAGAAACAUAUUGUUUUGGUCUUAUAACUUUUGAUUUUGAAGCCAGAGUGGGAUUCAGUAUAUUUCUACCAACCCUGGCUCCACUUAAACAUGCUGAUGACUCUUCUGACUCCAGGUCAGGAAACCAUGCCCUUUGAGGAGUGACUUGGGGAGCUGGGUAUGUUUAGCCUGUAAAAGGUUCUGACUGGAAAAGCACGUCAUGCCUCAGAAGUAAAAAGAGAAAGUAUGUUAUACGCAGAGCAAUCUUGUGGGUGGCAGUUGGGAGUGUGAUUCUGAAUCUUUUUCUCAUAAUUGCAUUAUCUGGUGAG